GACGGUUAGCUGAGACCCGCCGUGAGGAUGCGGGUGAGGCCGAGGCCCGGCUCCCCCUCUGAGACGGCGCUGCAACCCGCCGCGCCUACCUCCUCCCGAAGCCGCGGGAAGACGCAGGUGCCGCUGGACCACCCUCCACCUACGCCCUGCGGCGCCGCCCCACCCCGCCCCCGGGCACCUGCGGGAGGCGGGGACCGCGGCGGAGGCACCUGCGGAUUCCGCUGAGCCAGGGCUGGUACCCUCCUCGCCCCCGUAGGUCUGCGCUUAUUUGGGGGGGAAAAAUUAAGAGCGAGUCUGAUUCUUGAGAAUUACUGCUGAAUGGAUGGAUGGACGGACUUUUGGAAUGAAGAACAUCCCAGGAGCAAUGGAAAGAAGAGAAGUGGGAGACUAUGGAGGAUAAUUUCAUUUGGAUAUGUUUGUUGGAUUUGUAGAGUAAACUAGAUUGACAGGAGUCCUCAAAAACUAGCAAGUAGAAAUGCAGGAUAUGAUUACCUUUCUCUUAACUAUAUGCACUCUUAAAUGGACAACCUAAAAGAUACUCAAGGGAUUCAACUUAAGAGCCGGAAACUAGUUGGGGUGAUGUACACCUGUUGAGCCUAGCGCUCUGGAGGUGGAGAGAGGAAAAACCCAGCUGGAGACUGGGGGGUUGCAUAAAGGGGGCGGGAUCCCUAAGCACAUUCUUCUGCCUAAAACCCAUAAGUGAAUAUUCCAAGAAAACAAAAUGUUCCAUCAAUGAAUGAGGAAUAUUAAAGAAUCUCUAAAAAACUAAAACUAGAAAGGAUUGAUAUGCUCGGUUUAUAGUAGAGCAGUUGUAGCUGGUAAGUAGAGUAACAGACAAAAACAUCCUAAAAUGAAAAGUGGACCCAAAUAUUGCAGCAUUUCAAUGACAAGUUUUAGAAGGAACAUGUCUUCAUAUUUUUAAGGGCCCACUGAGUUCUCAGAACUAACUAAAACAAAAAUCCCUUCUUACACAAAGCCUAGGAAAAAAGGAAUGGAGAUUUUAGGUAUGAACAGCUAUCUCUAAAACAGUGUAAAUUAGACUGCCAUUCGAGUAAAACCUACCCAGCUGAAUCUUUUUCCGUUGGCAAGCCAACAUUAAGAGAGUGGAGUUAAAAUGUUUUCAGGAAAUAGCACACUGGAUGACUCCCUUAAAAAGGAUAUCACUUCAGAUUCUCAUACCCAGUGAUCUGUGAUAACCAAGGUAAUACGCCUAGCACCAAGGAGUCUGUAUAGGUUAACUGUAUUUUAUUCCUACUGAGAAAGUUAACUUUUUCCCUAUUUUCAGGCUGUCCUCAAACUUGAUGAGAUUCUCCUGCUUCUACUAUGGACAGAUUACAGUGUUUGAUACAGGCUGCAAUAGAAGAAUUGAUGAAUAAUA
rnacentral:lncRNA from 1 species